AGCAGAGCUAGAGGGAACUGCUGUGGAUGGAGCUGUAUUAGCGUGACUCACAAUUCUCUUCUUUCCACUGCUCUGUGUGCAGGGAAAUAAAGUAAAACAUCAUCCACAAUCUGA